rnacentral:rRNA from 1 species
UUAAAUUGAAGAGUUUGAUCAUGGCUCAGAUUGAACGCUGGCGGCAGGCCUAACACAUGCAAGUCGAGCGGUAGCACAGAGAGCUUGCUCUCGGGUGACGAGCGGCGGACGGGUGAGUAAUGUCUGGGAAACUGCCUGAUGGAGGGGGAUAACUACUGGAAACGGUAGCUAAUACCGCAUAAUGUCGCAAGACCAAAGUGGGGGACCUUCGGGCCUCAUGCCAUCAGAUGUGCCCAGAUGGGAUUAGCUAGUAGGUGGGGUAACGGCUCACCUAGGCGACGAUCCCUAGCUGGUCUGAGAGGAUGACCAGCCACACUGGAACUGAGACACGGUCCAGACUCCUACGGGAGGCAGCAGUGGGGAAUAUUGCACAAUGGGCGCAAGCCUGAUGCAGCCAUGCCGCGUGUGUGAAGAAGGCCUUCGGGUUGUAAAGCACUUUCAGCGGGGAGGAAGGCGGUGAGGUUAAUAACCUCACCGAUUGACGUUACCCGCAGAAGAAGCACCGGCUAACUCCGUGCCAGCAGCCGCGGUAAUACGGAGGGUGCAAGCGUUAAUCGGAAUUACUGGGCGUAAAGCGCACGCAGGCGGUCUGUCAAGUCGGAUGUGAAAUCCCCGGGCUCAACCUGGGAACUGCAUUCGAAACUGGCAGGCUAGAGUCUUGUAGAGGGGGGUAGAAUUCCAGGUGUAGCGGUGAAAUGCGUAGAGAUCUGGAGGAAUACCGGUGGCGAAGGCGGCCCCCUGGACAAAGACUGACGCUCAGGUGC